rnacentral:rRNA from 1 species
UACGUAGGGCGCAAGCGUUGUCCGGAAUUAUUGGGCGUAAAGAGCUCGUAGGCGGUUUGUCGCGUCUGCUGUGAAAACCCGAGGCUCAACCUCGGGCCUGCAGUGGGUACGGGCAGACUAGAGUGUGGUAGGGGAGACUGGAAUUCCUGGUGUAGCGGUGGAAUGCGCAGAUAUCAGGAGGAACACCGGUGGCGAAGGCGGGUCUCUGGGCCACUACUGACGCUGAGAAGCGAAAGCAUGGGGAGCGAACAGG